GCGGAAAGGCCACUUCGGUGGUACUCGAGCGGCGAACGGGUGAGUAACACGUGAGUAAUCUGCCCCUGGCUUUGGGAUAGCCACCGGAAACGGUGAUUAAUACCGGAUAUGACAUGGACUCGCAUGGGUUUGUGUGGAAAGUUUUUCGGCCAGGGAUGUGCUCGCGGCCUAUCAGCUUGAUGGUGAGGUAAUGGCUCACCAUGGCUUCGACGGGUAGCCGGCCUGAGAGGGUGACCGGUCACACUGGGACUGAGACACGGCCCAGACUCCUACGGGAGGCAGCAGUGGGGAAUAUUGGACAAUGGGCGGAAGCCUGAUCCAGCAACGCCGCGUGAGGGAUGACGGCCUUCGGGUUGUAAACCUCUUUCAGUACCGACGAAGCGCAAGUGACGGUAGGUACAGAAGAAGCACCGGCCAACUACGUGCCAGCAGCCGCGGUAAUACGUAGGGUGCGAGCGUUGUCCGGAAUUAUUGGGCGUAAAGGGCUCGUAGGCGGUUUGUCGCGUCGGGAGUGAAAACGCCGUGCUUAACACGGCGCUUGCUUUCGAUACGGGCAGACUAGAGGUAUGCAGGGGAGAACGGAAUUCCUGGUGUAGCGGUGAAAUGCGCAGAUAUCAGGAGGAACACCGGUGGCGAAGGCGGUUCUCUGGGCAUUACCUGA
rnacentral:rRNA from 1 species